GAGGUGGGAUGGGAAAGGGAAACUUUGGGAGAAAAGGGGCAUUGAAUGGGGGAGGAAGGAGGAUCCUGUAGGAGAAGGCAGAGUCAGUGGAAAGGGGAAGGAGCCACCGGAGAGGAGAUAAACAGCCCUCUGCAGUGUUUACACCCAGAAUAUUGCAGGGCUGGUUUUGUGCUUCUCUAAGGUCCUGUCCAUUUCGGUACGGCCCAGGAGCUCACUCCUGUCCCCAAGGGGGGCUGCCAUCAGCCAAGAGCAUCUACAGGGCAGCCCUUCAUACGUACAGGGUGAGACUGAGGAGACAUGGCCCAGUCACAUAGAUCAACAGUGGGCUCCAGUCUAGUCCCUAGAUCAUUGGUCCCUCGGAAGGACUCCCUGGGCACAGACAUCUUUCGCGAUGACAGUGGAGACUGCAUCGUCCGCUCCGACCUGGGCUGCUACCUGCAGACGAAAGAUUUCCUUGAGAGGGGGCAUGACAUCAAGAUCCGGAGACUGCACCCUGCAUGCCAGGGUGGGGAUCACUAUGUGGGCAACAGGCAGGAAUCCAAUAUCUACAUCAUCAAGGGCAGUUCCUAUCGGGUUGUGAGGGACCUGAGCACAGAUAAGGGAGCUCAGAUCUUUGAGCUGCAUCCCAGGUGCCGCGGUGGGGACCACUACGGGAGGGCUGGUUGGACCUUCUUCAUCAUUUUCCAAAACCAGGGUGAAAUCCGCUGGGUGACUAAUUUGAGGACAGCUGAGGGUGAAAAAAACUUUGUCUUGCACCCUGAAUGCUGCAAGGGGCUCUACUACUUUGGCAUCGAUCAGUACCUAGCCCUGAUCAAGAUGGAUGAGAAGUGGGGAGCUCAUUUCUACCUGUACCCAGACGCGAGCAAAGACAAGCUGGACUCCUUCUUCUCCAUCCACCCCGACGUGCUGAACUUCUUCCCUGGGGGCUUGACCCUCACCAAGGGCAUCUCAACCUGCGGCUGGGAGUGCAUCAAGACCCUGCACAACAACUCCGACUCCCCCAUCACCUGGUCUGACAAGGUCACCCGCAAGGUGGGCUAUGCCAAGCAGAAGAUGUCCACCAUUGAGCACAACUGGAGCAUCUCCGCUGAGAUGUCCCUCAGGGCUGGAGACCUCACCAAGCUCAUCACCCAGCUCCAAUUCUCCCUCAAGGCUGAGUACGGCGGGAGAAGCAUCCGCACGGAACAGGAGGACUGGAAUGAAGCCCGAGAAGAAGAGGAGUCAAUCCAGGUGACCCUGGAGCCCCAAAAGAACCUGUACAUCUGGCAGUACCAGCUCGGCAUAGGCCAGGAGCCCGUCUUGUUCUGCAGAGACAUCCAGUUCACCAAAGAAAACAACCCACCCGACCGCAUCCCACUGCCUCCAGUCCCCUAAGUGCCCAUGAGGAUGGAGAAUGCAGCACCAUGAUGCUAUUCUGGAUGUGUGCAUAUUUGACUCCUGUUGAUGGACCAUUGUUUCCUUCACAAGGAUGCCCCAGGCACAGAAAUCUUCCAUGGCCAAGGCAGAUUCUUCAUCGUCCAUGGCGAGCUGGGCUGCUACCUGCGGACAGAGGAUCCAAAAAGCGGGACCAGUAUCAAGAUCUGGAGACUGCCCCCCGGGUGCCAGGGUGGGGAUCACUACCUGGGUGCCCAUGAACAAUCCAACGUCAACAUCAUCAAGGGUGACUCCGACCGAUGGUGAAGGACUUGAGCACAGACGGUGAGGCCGAGGUCCGUGAGCUGCAUUAGAACUGCCGCGGUGGGGACCACUACACGCACUGUGUUUUCUUUUUUUUCAUCAUCUUCCUAGAGCGGCGGUUAUGCGCCAGGUCCUUGACCUGAGCACAGCUGAAAAAGGGGAUGUCACUCCCCUGCAGCUGGAAUGCCACAAGGGGCUCUGUUAUUUUAGCAUCUCUGUCACCCCACCCCUGAUCCAGGUGGAUGAGAAAUGGGCGGCUCAGUGCUACUUGUACAUGACAUGUGCAGCUCGGUUCCCCCAGUCUACUUCUCCAUCCACCCCAACAUACUCAACUUCUUCCCUGGGGGGUGGGCCCUCACCAAGGGCGUCUCAAUCAGCGGCUGGGAGUGCAUCAAGACCCUGCACAACGACUCCGAUUCCUCCAUCACCUGGUCUGACAAGGUCACCUGCAAGGUGGGCUACGCCAAGCACCAGAGGUCCAGGAUCGAGCACAAUUGGAGCAUCUCCGCUGAGCUGUCCCUUGGGGCCGGAGCCCUCACCAAGCUCAUCAUCCAGUUCCAGUUCUCCUUCAGGGCCGAGCACGGUGGGAGAAGCAUCCACAUGGAGCAGGAGGACUGGAACGAAGCCUCAGAAGAAGAGGAGUCAAUUCAGGUGAACCUGGAGUGCAAUCAGAACCUCUACAUCUGGCAGUACCGCCUCUGCAUAGGCCACAAGCCCGUCUUGUUCUGCAGGGACGUCCAUUUCACCAAAGAAAACAAACCACCCAACUGCAUCCC